rnacentral:misc_RNA from 1 species
GUCCCGAGAAGACGAAACUCACGCACCUCCACUUUGCCUUUCUCUGCUCUUCCUCCUUCUACUGUUACACUUUCCCUUCUCUUCCGAAUAGUCCUCUCAAUUUCUUCUCAAUCCCAACGCAAUAUCCAAAUCCGCAAAGCUCCAUUGAAGCUGCAGUUUUUAUUUUUUAUUUUUUUGAAUUUUACUUGCAGCCAUGACUUCGCCGUUGCCGAAGAAGAAAGACCCAGCAGCUGAAGCCGUCGUGGUCCAACCAUCAUCUCCGCGAUUUCCUGUUAGUACUCCAACAUCGGCGGCUCAACGGAGAAUCGGCAUCGCCGUCGAUCUCAGCGAUGAGAGCGCUUACGCCGUCAAUUGGGCUGUCCAAAACUACCUCCGCCAGGGCGAUGCCGUUAUCCUUGUUCAUGUCCGGCCUACAAGUGUACUAUACGGUGCCGAUUGGGGCGCAAUUGAGCUAUCCAUUACUGAACAUGAUUCUGAGAACCAAACGGAACAGUCCCAGAAAAAGCUCGAGGACGAUUUCGAUCUUUUCACCUCCACUAAGGCCAACGAUCUGGCCCAACCGCUCGUUGAGGCGCAGAUUCCGUUCAAGAUUCAUAUAGUGAAGGAUCAUGAUAUGAAGGAGAGACUUUGCUUGGAGGUGGAAAGGUUGAGGCUUUGCGCAGUUAUCAUGGGUAGCAGAGGAUUUGGGGCUUCCAGGAAGAAUACCAAAGGGGGGCUAGGCAGUGUGAGUGAUUACUGCGUGCAUCACUGUGUUUGUCCUGUGAUUGUUGUGAGGUUCCCUGAUGAGAAGGACGGUGCUGCUGCUGAGGGGCCAGGUGGCGGUGUUAAGAAAGGAGAGAAGGAGGGGGAGAUGCUGCCGCCUGUGGUGGAGGCGGAGGAGCAGGAGUAUCUUGAUGCUUCUGAUAAACAAGCAGAUAUGG